UACAGAGGGUGCGAGCGUUAAUCGGAAUUACUGGGCGUAAAGCGUGCGUAGACGGUUAUUUAAGUCGGGUGUGAAAGCCCCGGGCUCAACCUGGGAAUUGCAUUCGAGACUGAAUAGCUAGGGUACGGUAGAGGGAAGUGGAAUUUCCGGUGUAGCGGUGAAAUGCGUAGAUAUCGGAAGGAACAUCAGUGGCGAAAGCGACUUCCUGGACCAGUACCGACGUUAAGGCACGAAAGCGUGGGGAGCGAACAGG
rnacentral:rRNA from 1 species